GAAAAAUUUGUACGACUUGGUCAAAAUCCUAGGAAAUAUUGGCACAGAAACAUGGCCCAAUGUUGAUGGCUUCGCGACGUCCCUGCGCCGAACUAUUAGAAAAGUGAUGGGAUGUGUGUCAAAAACAAAAAAAAAGGAAAAAGAAAGAGAAACAAAUUCGAGCAAGGUAAUAAAAAGAAACUGAAAAACGUUAAUUCAGACACACAGAAAACAUUCCUACCACACUUAAUGUCAAGAAUAAAAAUGCCCAUCUGAUCUUCUCCCUCCCCCCAUCACUUUUCCAAUGGUCAUCCCUUACGUAUGCGACGCGGCGAGAUCUUACUAGAUUACUAAUAGUAAAUAAAUAUUCUUGUAUCGAAUAUCUGGUAAAUUUUUACCAAAUACAAUUGCACGAGCGAUUAUAUCUAAUUUAGUGUGCAGUGAUAACCAAUUUGUGCAGUGAUAAAAGCAAAAUGUUCAGUGAUAAAAUGUGAAAUGUUCAGUGAUAAAAUUUGCUUUGAUAAAUUGUUUAUAAAUAACA